UACGGAGGGUGCGAGCGUUAAUCGGAUUUACUGGGCGUAAAGGGCGCGUAGGCGGUUUAGUGAGUGUGAUGUGAAAGCCCCGGGCUUAACCUGGGAAGUGCAUCGCAAACGACUAAACUGGAGUAGGUGAGAGGGUGGCGGAAUUUCCGGUGUAGCGGUGAAAUGCGUAGAGAUCGGAAGGAACGUCAAUGGCGAAGGCAGCCACCUGGCACCAUACUGACGCUGAGGCGCGAAAGCGUGGGGAGCGAACAGG
rnacentral:rRNA from 1 species